UUCAGACAGAUCGCGGCUCUUAACCGAUAUAUCUGUAUCAUUAACUGCAACAGUUAAUGACUUGUUGCAGUUUAUUGCAAAACACUUCUUUGUGAAACAAUCUGUUGAAAGCUGUGUUGUAAUUAAUCCCAGAAGAGAAAAACCUCCACCCCAGGGAACAGGAUUAGACAGGGCUGCAAGGUCUGGAACUCACAGCAGCAUCCUUUAAUGAGGGAGAACUUUGGUUUCUAGACAGAACACCCACUAGUUCUGCACUGUUGUUUUCUCCCAGCAGCUCUCUGAUGUCCAGCACGCUCAUUCGUGAAGCCAGACUCCAAGCCACCAAGCGUUCUCCAAGCUACAGGUUGUUGUGAAGAGGAAGCAUGGUCCAUCCUUCAUACCUUAACAUAACCCUGGUCUUGCGCCACGGAGCCAUGUGUCAUGGUAAUGCUCAGCCUACUGUCAGUCACUUCCAGCAACUGCCUGUGGUACAGAAGCAGAGAAGUUGUAAUUUCUUCUUCUUCCUGAGGACUUUUAUCACCAUAUUUGGUGCUCAGCACAGAGGAUUUUCUUUUGGCACUCAUGAUGUUGUUGCUUUGCUGUUGCCAAGAGAACAACUGGGAGCCUUUGGCAUUCCUCAGCUCCAUAAAGCCAACUGUGAUGGCUCUGGGCUGUAUGGGAGCAGCCUCAAGCAGUGGCACAGCUCACCUACUACAGGGCACAAAUUCAUUCAGGAACUCUUGAUACAACAGGAGCCUCUUUGAUUGUAACAGCAGAUUUCCCACAGGCCACUGCACUUUACUGGGGUCCUUGUUCAGUGCCAAAGUAAAAUGCAUCUCUCAAACAUUAGUUUCAAGGUUGUACAUCAAGGUGGUUCUCUUAAUUCACUUCCACUCUCCUAAAACCAUACUCUGGUCUGAGCUUUCCUGGGCUUUUGAUCAUGUGCUGCUGUUCUGUCUCCCUGUGCUAAAUGACAGUCAGAUACUUCCUGUUUCAUUUUCCUUGUGAUAAACCGUAUUGAUUGUAACCCAGUCAGACAAAUUAAACAGAAGAUUUUUG